GGAUAAACGACGUGGCGGCGCACAUAAGACGAUGCAAGUCGUAACCGGAACUUUAACCCCGUUUACGUUUUACGUAUUGGGGUAGCGGGUUAGUGGCGGGACUGGUGAGUAACACGUAAGCGAACCUAGCCUAUUAGAGGGGAAGUAACAAGUGAGAAAUACAUUGCUAAUACCGCAUAUGCUCACAGUAUCACAUGAUACAGUGAGGAAAGGAGCAAUCCACUAAUAGAUGGGCUUGCGUCUGAUUAGCUAGUUGGUGGGGUAACGGCCUACCAAGGCGACGAUCAGUAGCCGGACUGAGAGGUUGAACGGCCACAUUGGGACUGAGAUACGGCCCAGACUCCUACGGGAGGCAGCAGUCGGGAAUAUUGCGCAAUGGAGGAAACUCUGGCGCAGUGACGCCGCGUAUAGGAAGAAGGUUUUCGGAUUGUAAACUAUUGUCGUUAGGGAAGAUAAAAGACAGUACCUAAGGAGGAAGCUCCGGCUAACUAUGUG
rnacentral:rRNA from 1 species